rnacentral:RNase_P_RNA from 1 species
GAAGGUGGAACGCGGUAAACCCCUCGAGUGAGCAAUCCAAAUUAGGUAGGAGCACUUUCCAACAGGAAUUCAACUGGCGGAGAGAUAUUAUUAAUUUAAUAUAGACAGAUGAUUAUCACCAAUGUGCGAGUGUAUACUAGUGCACGAAUGCAGCACAGCGGGACAGAACAUGGCUUAUAGAG